UCGCUACAUUCCACACGCAUGUUUUUGCUCCCUACUCUCCGCAUUCUUUCGUCGACACCGGCGACGUCCUUGUCCUUGUUGUCCUGUUAUCAUUCGCACGGUGGCACUUGUACGAAGCAGAUUGUUUCAUAUCUACGUUUUAUCCUCUCCUACUAUAAUACUACCUUUACUACUUCCCGCAAUUUUCGAUCACAUCCUUUUCUAUCAUUAUCUGUAGCGAAUAUAGCAAUGUCGAACGUAUCCGUGCGAUAAUAUUCGAGUCUACUUUUGACUUAAAUGACGAAAUACGCGUCGAUAGUGUAGUUUAAAACAUCGCGCAAUUUUCACGAACGCGUGUGAAGUGCCUUGAAGAACUGCAAAGAAGACUGAGAGGAGGAGGAGGCUCAGCGAGGGCAUCGGGCACCAGCGGAGCGACUUUAGAAUCAACUUGAACAACAACUCCGCUGCUACACAUCGUACCGUUCUGCUACUUCCCGAAAAUAUGGGUACAUCCCGUCCGUGUCGCCGAAGCCUUCGAGUUGAAAUACAAGAUUCACGGGCCCAAUGAAAGUGCUCCUAAAGCGAUUCAUUAUCUUUUCUUCUUUAAGACGGGAGCGGGAUUAAUAAUAAAAGUAAGGUGCUGAAAUAUAACGCAAAUUGAAAAGCUUUUCACCAAGGAGCAGCGGAAGCAGCGAGUAUCUUAUACAGAAGCACACGGAGAAUCGAAUCGGUUUAACUCAAUUACCGUCUGCUUUAAGAUAAUAAUGAGAAGAUAAUGCGCGAGAAGCAGUUAUUAUUGAAGCGUUCCAAAUUGCCGGUGUUGAAGUUCGCCGGCAGUGUCGAGUUGGAGAUAGUUUCGAGUUUAAGUUCCACGACAAACGACCUUUACUGCCUUUCUGCACAUGAAAUAGGGAGAGAUGCUUUGAGACAGGAGCACGGGCCAGCUAAUUUUACAGUACUCUGCGAACAGCCAUAAACUACUUGCAACGACGUCACUCGCGGCGUGUAAACACGAAAGAAAACUAAACUGCCGCUACUCGCAGAACGCAGAAAAUAUCAUAAAGGAGAGGAAUUCUCGAAGCAACUUGUGCGCGUGUCGCGAGCAUUCGGGUGAACUGACAAUGAACCGGUAUUCCACUUCGGGCAGAAACGGAGUUAAUACUUGGCACGUACGAGGCGCGGGCGGAAAAUUUCUAAGUGAAAAGCGGAGGAAGUCGCGCGGACAUACAGAAGCGACAUCGUCGAUUUGAAGAGGAUAGCGUCUGCGUUGGUAAUAAACCGACUACAAUACGCGAUGUACUCUAAUAUGUAUAUGUCGCGCGGAAUAUCACUCAUACAACUGUCGCCUGUUUCAUAUAAAUUAUAAGCGUGGUUUGCGCGCCACGGAAUAUUAAUACCGCGAAAUUUCAAACUUUAGAAUUUGCUUUGGAUUGAUAUUACCGGGGAAAUAUAAAUUAUCAAGUUUAGGGAGCACGGCGACCGUUGAAUAAACUGAAUUUUUAAUUAUUUUAAAAUAACUAUAUUGAUUUUAUCAUUACGUCGCUCCAGAUAACCAACGGCCUCGAUUAUCCCACAUGACCUGACCUUGCCGCGUAUCGGAAAAGAUAAAGUGUAUGGACGCGACAAAGGGAAACAAUAAACAAUAUAUGAGCCCAAUAUUACGGAUUUCCAUACGCUCAAUUAAUCAUGUAAAAUAUACAUGAAUUUUCAACGUGUUUAUCAUCUCCCGAUUAUCGAUUGCUAGAUGCAAAAUAACUGCGGUUUUAGUUGAUCAAUGCUGGCCGCGCAGUUAACGCGCGGCUUAAAAUUGUGAAAUAGUAACUGUGUAAUCGUCAUCCGUCAUUCGUGAUUAGUUCCCUCUCGCAUCGAGCUGCCCAAUUAUCCCCGCGAAUAGCGCGUAACACCGAGUUUAAACCGAAAGAGACGAUGAAACAACGUUCGUAGUGUAAUCACAGCGACGCGUAUGUGUGCGAGAACGUUUUACACAGAGAUUUAUUGUCGAUUUUGCGCUUAUUAAAUACGAACGGCACUACAUUCUACUCCCGACGAAACAAUCACCGCAUUAUUUCUGUACAUUUAGCGCGAAUAUAUAUACAAUAUAUACUGUGAGAAAUAUACGAGUAAUCCUCGUUAUUCCGGGAAUUACAAUAAAACCGGCAUUAUCGGCGCGAAAAGAAUAAAUAUUUUGAAUCGUGAAAACAUAAAUGUUUGAAAUAUAUUCAGAAUUAAUGAAACAUAAUGAAAUCAAGAAUUAUACGAAUGUCACGUUUCAGUUUUCAGUUUUAAUACAAUGUAAUUUUAAUUAGAAAAUUCUAAGUUUCUUCACUAGCGAUUGAUAUUUCGCUGUAAAUUUGCAACGAAGGUGAUAUCACCCUUGCAUAUCAAGGGUGUUUUUAUUAGCAUUUUUAUGGGUGUUGUAACUGUAUUUCGGGGAAUUCGAAACAGCUCUCGACAUAAGUGAUUACAUUUGAUUUUCAUGGGGCCCUUCGUAUCGUUUAGAAAUC
rnacentral:lncRNA from 1 species